rnacentral:rRNA from 1 species
UACAGAGGUGGCAAGCGUUGUUCGGAAUUACUGGGCGUAAAGGGCGUGUAGGCGGUCUUCUAAGUCAGACGUGAAAUCCCCCGGCUUAACCUGGGAACUGCGUCUGAUACUGGGAGGCUUGAGUAUGGGAGAGGGAUGCGGAAUUCCAGGUGUAGCGGUGAAAUGCGUAGAUAUCUGGAGGAACACCGGUGGCGAAGGCGGCAUCCUGGACCAAUAUUGACGCUGAGGAGCGAAAGCCAGGGGAGCAAACGGG